rnacentral:hammerhead_ribozyme from 1 species
AUCCAGCUGACGAGUCCCAAACGUGACGAAACGAGCGUCUUGGAU